rnacentral:rRNA from 3 species
GGGUUGUGAGGUUAAGCGACUAAGCGUACACGGUGGAUGCCCUGGCAGUCAGAGGCGAUGAAGGGCGUGCUAAUCUGCGAUAAGCGCCGGUAAGGUGAUAUGAACCGUUAUAACCGGCGAUACCCGAAUGGGGAAACCCAGUGUGAUUCGUCACACUAUCAUUAACUGAAUCCAUAGGUUAAUGAGGCGAACCGGGGGAACUGAAACAUCUAAGUACCCCGAGGAAAAGAAAUCAACCGAGAUUCCCCCAGUAGCGGCGAGCGAACGGGGAGGAGCCCAGAGCCUGAAUCAGCAUGUGUGUUAGUGGAAGCGUCUGGAAAGGCGCGCGAUACAGGGUGACAGCCCCGUACACAAAAGCGCAUGUGCUGUGAGCUCGAUGAGUAGGGCGGGACACGUGGUAUCCUGUCUGAAUAUGGGGGGACCAUCCUCCAAGGCUAAAUACUCCUGACUGACCGAUAGUGAACCAGUACCGUGAGGGAAAGGCGAAAAGAACCCCGGCGAGGGGAGUGAAAAAGAACCUGAAACCGUGUACGUACAAGCAGUGGGAGCCCCACCACCAAAGCAUUCUCUGGUGUUGAAGGCCCUGCAAAGCAGCAUCGCGGUGGCGGAGCGUCGUUUGCGACGCCCAACACACAAAACAAGCGGUGAGUGCUUUGGGGUGGGGUGACUGCGUACCUUUUGUAUAAUGGGUCAGCGACUUAUAUUCUGUAGCAAGGUUAACCGAAUAGGGGAGCCGGAGGGAAACCGAGUCUUAAU